UACGUAGGGGGCAAGCGUUGUCCGGAAUCAUUGGGCGUAAAGCGCGCGUAGGCGGCCCGGUAAGUCCGCUGUGAAAGUCAAAGGCUCAACCUUUGAAUGCCGACGGAUACUGCCGGGCUAGAGUACGGAAGAGGCGAGUGGAAUUCCUGGUGUAGCGGUGGAAUGCGCAGAUAUCAGGAGGAACACCUAUAGCGAAGGCAGCUCGCUGGGACGUUACUGACGCUGAGGCGCGAAAGCGUGGGGAGCGAACAGG
rnacentral:rRNA from 1 species